GGGUCAGUAGGUUGGUCGUGCCACCGGUACGUACUGGUCUCACUGAUUCCUCCUUCCUGAAGAACCGUAAUGCCAUUAAUAUGGUGUUGCGGGAAACAGGACUGUUACUUUGAAAAAAUUAGAGUGUUUAAAGCAAGCUAACGCUUGAAUACAUUAGCAUGGAAUAAUGAAAUAGGACGAUCGAUCCUAUUUUGUUGGUUUCUAGGAUUGACGUA
rnacentral:rRNA from 1 species